CCGGGCAGUGUAUGGUGGGAGCCAAGAUGGCGGCGGCCGCAGCAGCCAGUAUUCGAGAGAGACAAACAGUGGCUUUGAAACGUAUGUUGAAUUUUAAUGUGCCUCAUAUUAAAAACAGCACUGGAGAACCAGUAUGGAAGGUGCUCAUUUAUGACAGAUUUGGCCAAGAUAUCAUCUCUCCUCUGCUAUCUGUGAAGGAGCUGAGAGACAUGGGAAUCACUCUGCAUCUGCUUUUGCACUCUGAUCGAGAUCCUAUUCCAGAUGUUCCUGCAGUGUACUUCGUAAUGCCAACUGAAGAAAAUAUUGACAGAAUGUGUCAGGAUCUUCGAAAUCAACUCUAUGAAUCAUAUUAUUUAAAUUUUAUUUCUGCUAUUUCAAGAAGUAAACUGGAAGAUAUUGCAAAUGCAGCAUUAGCAGCUAGUGCAGUAACACAAGUAGCCAAGGUUUUCGAUCAGUAUCUCAAUUUUAUUACUUUGGAAGAUGAUAUGUUUGUAUUAUGUAAUCAAAAUAAGGAGCUUGUUUCAUAUCGUGCCAUUAACAGACCAGAUAUCACAGACACAGAAAUGGAAACUGUUAUGGACACUAUUGUUGACAGCCUCUUUUGCUUUUUUGUUACACUGGGUGCUGUCCCUAUAAUCAGAUGUUCAAGAGGAACAGCAGCAGAAAUGGUAGCAGUGAAACUAGAUAAGAAACUUCGGGAAAAUCUGAGAGAUGCAAGAAACAGUCUUUUUACAGGUGACACACUUGGAGCUGGCCAGUUCAGCUUCCAAAGGCCUUUAUUAGUCCUUGUUGACAGAAACAUAGAUUUGGCAACUCCUUUACACCAUACUUGGACAUAUCAAGCCUUGGUGCAUGAUGUACUGGAUUUCCACUUGAACAGAGUUAAUUUGGAAGAGUCUUCAGGAGUGGAGAAUUCCCCAGCUGGUGCUAGACCAAAGAGAAAAAACAAGAAGUCUUAUGAUUUAACUCCAGUUGAUAAAUUUUGGCAGAAACAUAAAGGAAGUCCAUUCCCAGAAGUUGCAGAAUCAGUUCAACAAGAACUAGAGUCUUACAGAGCACAGGAAGAUGAGGUUAAACGACUUAAAAGCAUUAUGGGACUAGAAGGGGAAGAUGAAGGAGCCAUAAGUAUGCUGUCUGACAAUACUGCUAAGUUAACAUCAGCCGUUAGUUCUUUGCCAGAACUCCUUGAAAAAAAAAGACUUAUUGAUCUCCAUACAAAUGUUGCCACUGCUGUUUUAGAACAUAUAAAGGCAAGAAAAUUGGAUGUAUAUUUUGAAUAUGAAGAAAAAAUAAUGAGCAAAACUACUCUGGAUAAAUCGCUUCUAGAUAUAAUAUCAGACCCUGAUGCAGGAACUCCAGAAGAUAAAAUGAGGCUGUUUCUUAUCUAUUACAUAAGUGCACAGCAAGCACCUUCUGAGGCUGAUUUGGAGCAAUACAAAAAAGCUUUAACUGAUGCUGGAUGCAACCUUAAUCCCUUGCAAUAUAUCAAACAGUGGAAGGCUUUUGCCAAGAUGGCUUCAGCUCCUACCAGCUAUGGCAACACUACCACUAAACCAAUGGGUCUCUUAUCACGAGUCAUGAAUACAGGAUCACAAUUUGUGAUGGAAGGAGUGAAGAACCUGGUAUUGAAACAGCAAAAUCUACCUGUUACUCGUAUUUUAGACAAUCUCAUGGAGAUGAAGUCAAACCCUGAAACUGAUGACUAUAGAUAUUUUGAUCCCAAAAUGCUGCGGGGCAAUGACAGAAACACUACCAAAGUUACAAAAGAAGCUGCUGGUAGCAACUGCAGCUGGCAAGAAAGAAUUUGACAAAGAAUAAAUUAUAGAAGGGAGAGAAUGAGGAGUGACAACUAAUGGACACUGAGAUAUGUACUUCAUCUAGCUGUUCCUCUGAAUCCCACUUCACUACCUGGCUCAAAGAAGGUGAAGGAAGAAGAAUUGUAAAUACAUAGCUAAUAGUGUGUGCGUGUGUCUGUGUGUUUCCCAUGCCUAUUUUAUCCUUAAGUGAAGCUUUGGGUGAAAUUUUCGUGUGUGUUUUUUGUUGUUGUUCUUACAGCUCAGUUCCAAGGAACAAAAAUCCAUUUCAAGAGGCAAUUGUUUUUGUGGUGGGAGGAGGCAACUACAUUGAAUAUCAAAAUCUUGUUGACUACAUAAAGGGGAAACAAGGCAAGCACAUCUUAUAUGGCUGCAGUGAACUUUUUAAUGC